GUGUCUGGACGUCAGUAUAGUCGUGACCAACUACAUUAAUUCUGCAGGAAAAUACAAACGUAGUGUGAAGUAGGCUACAGAAUUGGAAAUGACAGAAAAACUGCCACCCUCUUUUCAGAUCACAUCUUCAGAUACAAUUGCA
rnacentral:lncRNA from 13 species